rnacentral:lncRNA from 1 species
UCACUAUUGGUGUUAUUAUUUCUUGCAGCCACACAAGGGAGCUUUUGGAGAUUCAUUCUACACACAUCAAUAGGUACCAUUUGUUAUCACUGCUGGCAUAACAUUGUUUUACACUUUGAAACUCCCAGUUGUGAUUUCAAGCUCCUGUUAUUCCAACUGAAAAGAGACCAUAUGACAUUCUACAGAUGGCUGCAGGCAAGCAUCUAAAACCUUUGGGAGAAUACAGCAUACCAGGAAGAUUAUUAUUAUGAAUAUUUGGUGAAUAAUACCAAGAGUUUGGAGCUCCUUACUCAUGGUCCCCACAAGCCAAACCUCCUAGAAUCAAAUAGAAC